rnacentral:lncRNA from 1 species
CUCUGCCGGUGCUGCUCCCGCGCCCUCUGCCGCUGCCCCCCCAGGCCGUGUUCACCCGGCGGGGCGGGGGCAGGGGGGCGCCUCAGGGCUUUCAGUCCGGUCUGUGCCCUGGGUGGAUGGCCCGCGUGGCGCCUCGCGGCCAGGCGGGCCCAGACAGGCUGGGAGCUGUGGGGUCUGCCCGCUGCCCUCUGUGCACGACCGUGUGGCCGCAGGCAGGGCCGUUGGACUCAGGCGCCUGGCGGGAGCUGGGCCCAGCCGCCCGGCGUGGCCCUUCCGUGGUGUUGGUCCCGAGGACAGUCUGUGCGGCCUCUUCGCCUUGUGGGCUCGGCCUGGCAGCGGGCGUUCCCCGUGUGCGGCUGUGGCGGUCGCUGCAGGAGGCUCUGCUGACCACAGUCUUGCCGUGUCGGACCUGAGGCCGGUCCCCGCCCCCUCACCAGGCGUGGGAACGGUCCCGCACUUGCCCAGGCCACGGGCCGGAUGGACAGGGCCCCCUCCCGCAGCCCCGCUCCCCCCGCCCGCACCUUGUCUUCGCCCACAUCUCUGCAGGACCCCCUGGCCCUUUCGGGACCCCCUCAGCAUCGCAGAUGGCAGCAGUGGCCCGGGCCUCGGGAGUCGGGGGCUGAGAGUCCUGGCUGCCGGUGGCGAGCGGCCGUACAGCCCUCCCCUGUGCCACCCAGAGCGCCCAGCCGCCCCCUUCCUUCGCAUGGUCCCUUUGGCUGGUGUUGAUGGCUCGGGUAGAGCUAGAGGCAUCGGACUCAGAGGAAGGACCAGCUGGACCAAAGGCGCACUCUGGGUAGAGGGGUGGGUUCCAGGAGGCCCUGGGCCCUUCAGCGUGUUUGCCCGCGGCCAGGCCACGGAAGCCCUGGGAGGGCGCUCCUGCCUGGCCUGUGCGUGACACUGCCGGGUUUCUGCAGAACGAGCCGAGGGAACAGCCAGUGGGAAGGACGGGGUGGGGGCCGCACGCAGGGAGGUCAGACGCACCUGAAGUCACUGGCGGCAUCGGCGGCGUCCCCUGNCCCCCCCCCCCCCCCCCCGCCGCCGCCGCCGUGGCCCGAGCACUCCAGGAGCCGUGCUGGGGGAGGCCCCGUUUUGUUGGGGGUUUUGUGCGGGAGGAUGAUCACGGAGGUGUCCAGUGAGGGAGGUGCGCCCUGAUACUGAGCUAGAAGGGCCCCGGGCUUGGGCUGCUGGGAGGGUUAGGAAAUGCACUGUCUCACCGCCCAGGACGGGGAGGAGGCCCCAUGCAGGGCGGUCUUCACUGCCAGUUCCCGUCCAGCAGCAGGAGUCCAGCCCGAGGGGGAGGCAGCCAGUCUUCCUGCUGUCUCUGGAAAUAACUAGGAAGUGAGUUGUUUGCCCCGAACGGCCAAGAACCCAGCUCAAAGCUUCGGGCAGGAAGCCGCCCCUGCACCGUGUCUGUGCUCUUGCUUUGUGUCCAGAAGCACUGAGGCCCGUGGCACACGCCAGUGGUCCCCUGCCGGGGGUCUUUCGGUUCUAGAAUCUUACGGAUCGUCUCCUAGAAACAUGACGCUCCCUGGAGGCCCGGGUGGCGUGGGAAGGAGGGGCAGGUCUGGGUCGAACCCGUCCCCUGUGGGGUUUGUAAAAAUGAGAUAAGUGGUGAGUGAUGACAGCAGCCCUCAAGCCGAUGCUGAUGCUGCCCCGAGGCCCAGGCCCCCGGGAGCUGAGCCCGGGUCUGGACCACCCCCCGCCUGACCCAACCCGAAGCGUGUCCUCUCUGGGGUCCGGGGCAGAAGCCUUUCCCAGGGGUCUACUGUCCACACUCGCAGGCCGCCUCCUGGCUGGAGACCAAGGUCCCCGGGUGCCCUUUGCCCGCGUGGUUGUCUGUUCUCUGGGGAGCAGUGUCGUGUCUGGAGGGGUGCAGCCGCGCCUGUGCUCGGCAAGGACAGCUCUCUGCCUGUCGUGGUGGGGACAGGCGUGCUGUGGGCCUCACGCUAGGUGGCCCGCCGUGGCCAGGGCUGGGGGACCCGAGGGUGGGUGGGGACAGGGCUGUGCACGUCUCUGUUUGUGCGUGGUGACUGGUUCCCGGGCCUUCGGGCCUUACCCUGCUUCCCGCUGCUUUCGCUGUGAGCCCUCCCGCUUCUCUGGUCAGUCGAGUGGGACCGCUGGGCAAAGCCUGGGCGCGCUGGGCGGGGCGGGCGGCGUGUCCACACCGCUGGCCGGGGAGCCCGUCCGGGGCGGCCUGGUCAGCAUCUGGAGGGAGUGCGCCCGGGAGAGCCCUGCCUGUCCUGGCUCAGUGCGUGCGCCCGGGGGGCAGCUUGGAGGCUGUGGCAACGGGCCUGAUCGCAUUCCUCUGGCGGCUUCUGAGCUGUGAACUCUGUGACCCGGGACUCACCUGUUGCGCUCCUCCUCCUGUGGAAUUGGCAGCCAGCUCCGUUUCCUCCUGUCGUUUCAAGCACGGUUGGCGUCGUCUGCUGUAGGUGUGGGCGUAGUGUGGGUGUAGUGUGUGUACAUAUGUGUAUAUGUAUAUAUCACGCAGCAGGCGUGACUGCUGCUAUCCAGUGGCGAAGCAACAAGUACAAUAAAAAUCGGCUCCAAA